UGGCCGUAAACGAUGUGGACUUGGUGUUGGAAUGGCUCCGAGCUGCUCCAGUGCCGAAGGGAAGCUGUUAAGUCCACCGCCUGGGAAGUACGGUCGCAAGACUGAAACUUAAAGGAUUGGCGGGGAGCACCACAACGCGUGGAGCCUGCGGUUUAAUUGGAUUCAACGCCGGACAUCUCACCAGGGGCGGACAGCAGAAUGAUGGCCAGGUUGAUGACCUUGCUUGACAAGCUGAGAGGAGGUGCAUGGCGUGU
rnacentral:rRNA from 1 species